rnacentral:rRNA from 1 species
CUCGUAGUUGGACCUAUGACAAGGCCGGAUGGUCUGCCGCAAGGCAGUACUGUCCUAGCCGAGUCACGAUGUUGGGGAACUGUCCUUUGGGCAGGGAACCAAGGAUUACUUUGAAGAAAUUAGAGUGUUUAAAGCAGGCGUUUGCUUGAAUACAUUAGCAUGGAAUAAUAAGAUAUGACUGUGGUCGUAUUUUGUUGGUUUGAUGGCCUCAGUAAUGAUUAAUAGGGAUAGUUGGGGGCAUUAGUAUUCAGUAGUCAGAGGUGAAAUUCUUGGAUUUACUGAAGACUAACUAAUGCGAAAGCAUUUGCCAAGGAUGUUUUCAUUAAUCAAGAACGAAAGUUAGGGGAUCGAAGACGAUUAGAUACCGUCGUAGUCUUAACCAUAAACUAUGCCGACUAGGGAUCGGUAGACUUCAUUUUGGGUCUAUCGGCACCUUACGAGAAAUCAAAGUUUUUGGGUUCUGGGGGGAGUAUGGUCGCAAGGCUGAAACUUAAAGGAAUUGACGGAAGGGCACCACCAGGAGUGGAGCCUGCGGCUUAAUUUGACUCAACACGGGAAAACUCACCAGGUCCGGACAUAGUAAGGAUUGACAGAUUGAGAGCUCUUUCAUGAUUUUAUGGGAGGUGGUGCAUGGCCGUUCGUAGUUGGUGGAGUGAUUUGUCUGGUUAAUUCCGAUAACGAACGAGACCUAAACCUGCUAAAUAGGGGCGGACACGCGAGUGUCUCGCACCUUCUUAGAGGGACUGAAUACGUUUAGUAUUCGGAAGUUUUAGGCAAUAACAGGUCUGUGAUGCCCUUAGAUGUUCUGGGCUGCACGCG